rnacentral:rRNA from 1 species
UCCGUUUGAUCCUGGCGGAGGUCACUGCUAUUGGGAUUCGACUAAGCCAUGCGAGUCGUGAGGGUUCGGCCCUCGGCAGACGGCUCAGUAACACGUGGAUAAUCUACCCUUAGGUGGAGGAUACCCUCGGGAAACUGAGAAUAAUACUCCAUAGAUCUAGACUGCUGGAAUGCUUUUAGAUCGAAAGAUUUAUCGCCUAAGGAUGAGUCUGCGGACUAUCAGGUUGUAGUCAGGGUAAUGACCUGACUAGCCUACGACGGAUACGGGUAGUGAGAGCUUUAGCCCGGAGAUGAUAUCUGAGACACGAUAUCAGGCCCUACGGGGCGCAGCAGGCGCGAAAACUUCGCACUGUGCGAAAGCACGACGAGGGAAUCCCAAGUGCUGGCUCGUAAGAGUCAGCUGUUUCUCUGUCUAAAAAACAGAGAGAGUAAGGGCUGGGUAAGACGGGUGCCAGCCGCCGCGGUAAUACCUGCAGCCCAAGUGGUGGCCGCUAUUAUUGGGCCUAAAACGUCCGUAGCCGGUUCUAUAAAUGCCUGGGUAAAUCGUACGGCUUAACCGUACGAAUUCCGGGUAGACUGUUCAACUUGGGACCGGGAGAGGCUAGAGGUACUCCUGGGGUAGAGGUGAAAUUCUGUAAUCCUAGGGGGACCACCAGUGGCGAAGGCGUCUAGCUAGAACGGGUCUGACGGUGAGGGACGAAGCCCUGGGGCGCAAACGGGAUUAGAUACCCCGGUAGUCCAGGGUGUAAACGCUGCUCGCUUGAUGUUAGUCGGGCUUCGAGCCCAACUAGUGUCGGAGAGAAGUUGUUAAGCGAGCUGCCUGGGGAGUACGGUCGCAAGACUGAAACUUAAAGGAAUUGGCGGGGGAGCACCGCAACGGGUGGAGCGUGCGGUUUAAUUGGAUUCAACGCCGGAAAACUCACCGGGGGCGACGGUUAUAUGAAGGCCAGGCUGAUGACCUUGCCUGAUUUUCCGAGAGGUGGUGCAUGGCCGUCGUCAGUUCGUACCGUGAGGCGUUCUGUUAAGUCAGACAACGAGCGAGACCCA